GGUGACAGCAGUAGACAGGUUAGGCUGGGUUAGGAGGUGACAGCAGUAGACAGGUUAUGCUGGGUUGGGAGGUGACAGCAGUAGACAGGUUAUGCUGGGUUGGGAGGUGACAGCAGUAGACAGGUUAUGCUGGGUUGGGAGGUGACAGCAGUAGACAGGUUAUGCUGGGUUGGGAGGUGACAGCAGUAGACAGGUUAUGCUGGGUUGGGAGGUGACAGCAGUAGACAGGUUAUGCUGGGUUGGGAGGUGACAGCAGUAGACAGGUUAUGCUGGGUUGGGAGGUGACAGCAGUAGACAGGUUAUGCUGGGUUGGGAGGUGACAGCAGUAGACAGGUUAUGCUGGGUUGGGAGGUGACAGCAGUAGACAGGUUAGGCUGGGUUGGGAGGUGACAGCAGUAGACAGGUUAUGCUGGGUUGGGAGGUGACAGCAGUAGACAGGUUAUGCUGGGUUGGGAGGUGACAGCAGUAGACAGGUUAUGCUGGGUUGGGAGGUGACAGCAGUAGACAGGUUAUGCUGGGUUGGGAGGUGACAGCAGUAGACAGGUUAUGCUGGGUUGGGAGGUGACAGCAGUAGACAGGUUAUGCUGGGUUGGGAGGUGACAGCAGUAGACAGGUUAUGCUGGGUUGGGAGGUGACAGCAGUAGACAGGUUAUGCUGGGUUGGGAGGUGACAGCAGUAGACAGGUUAUGCUGGGUUGGGAGGUGACAGCAGUAGACAGGUUAUGCUGGGUUGGGAGGUGACAGCAGUAGACAGGUUAUGCUGGGUUGGGAGGUGACAGCAGUAGACAGGUUAUGCUGGGUUGGGAGGUGACAGCAGUAGACAGGUUAUGCUGGGUUGGGAGGUGACAGCAGUAGACAGGUUAUGCUGGGUUAGGAGGUGACAGCAGUAGACAGGUUAUGCUGGGUUGGGAGGUGGCCGCAGUAGACAGGUUAGGCUGGGUUGGGAGGUGACAGCAGUAGACAGGUUAUGCUGGGUUGGGAGGUGACAGCGGUAGACAGGUUAGAGAGGUUAGGCUGGGUUGGGAGGUGACAGCAGUAGACAGGUUAGACAGGUUAGGCUGGGUUGGGAGGUGACAGCAGUAGACAGGUUAGAGAGGUUAGGCUGGGUUGGGAGGUGACAGCAGUAGACAGGUUAUGCUGUGUUGGGAGGUGACAGCAGUAGACAGGUUAUGCUGGGUUGGGAGGUGACAGCAGUAGACAGGUUAGAGAGGUUAGGCUGGGUUGGGAGGUGACAGCAGUAGACAGGUUAGAGAGGUUAGGCUGGGUUGGGAGGUGACAGCAGUAGACAGGUUAUGCUGGGUUGGGAGGUGACAGCAGUAGACAGGUUAGAGAGGUUAGGCUGGGUUGGGAGGUGACAGCAGUAGACAGGUUAGAGAGGUUAGGCUGGGUUGGGAGGUGACAGCAGUAGACAGGUUAUGCUGGGUUGGGAGGUGACAGCAGUAGACAGGUUAGGCUGGGCUGGGAGGUGACAGCAGUAGACAGGUUAGACAGGUUAGGCUGGGUUGGGAGGUGACUGCAGUAGACAGGGCUGGGAGGUGACUGCAGUAGACCGGUUAGGCUGGGCUGGGAGGUGACAGCAGUAGACAGGUUAGGCUGGGCUGGGAGGUGACAGCAGUAGACAGGUUAGAGAGGUUA